ACGCUCGACACCUACGGGAGCAGCAGUCGGGAAUAUUGCGCAAUGGAGGAAACUCUGACGCAGUGACGCCGCGUGCAGGAAGAAGGUUUUCGGAUUGUAAACUGCUUUAGACAGGGAAGAAAGAAAUGACAGUACCUGUAGAAUAAGCUCAGGCUAACUACGUGCCAACAGCCGCGGUAAUCUGAGCGGGCUGGCAAGGC
rnacentral:rRNA from 1 species